UUACUUACCUGGAUGGGGUCGAUGGAUGAUCAUGAAGGUCCAUGGCCUAAGAUUGUGACCUCCAUUGCACUUAGGAGGGGUGCUUUUCUAAGAUCUACUCAAGUGUUGGAGUCUACAUUAUAAUUUGUUGGGGGCCUGCAUUCAUGCGGCCUAUUC